rnacentral:lncRNA from 1 species
GCAGCACAGUGUGCUUUUGAGUUCCGGUGAACGGGGUGCUCUGGCUGGAGCCUAGUGCGAAGUUUCCCCUUCUCCGCCCAUUCCUCAUCCCUCAGGGCACACAGGUCACCUUUCCUCGCCUUCUCGUCCCCACCUCUAAGGCUUGGCCAAAGUUUCUUCAUAAAAGCAAGAAAGAUAACGAAAGAGCCCCCCAUGGGUUAUGGUUUUUGUGGGGCCAGGAAUGCCCAGUUUGAACCUCCAGUUCCGCCACCUGUAGCCGAGUGAAAGAGGCUGGGUUAUUCAGACACCCCAAGCCUCAGUUUCCCCACUUGUUGUGAGGCUUGAGUGUGCUAACACAUCAAGGCAACCCAGAACAGCGCUUGGCAGAGACUCGCAGUUUAUCACUGUGAACUGUCGUUAUUGGAAAGUGGGUGGAGUCGGGUUUGGAUUCCCCCAGGAGCAGAGACAGAAACAAAAGGAUUCAAGUGUGAAGAUAGAAGCUUCCUCCAGUGAAGCAGCAGCCCCGGCACUGGGCCUGCAGUGGAGACCGGGAAUGAGAGAAGCCCCUGGCGUGGGCUGGCAAGGACGCAGAGCACGGAGAGCACCUGGGGCAGGGCCGGCGCCAACGGCAUAACACAUGCUGCUGCUCCUCUCCCGCGGGGCCCAUGGAGAUGGCUGGAAGCAGCCCAACGUCAGGGCAGAUCCCUACCUUCACACUCACAUAAGAGAAGAGUGAAGUUUCGGGGACUCCACACCUCAAGGUAGUUCCACCGUGCGAGGUGCUGCGCUCACAGUAUUACUCAUGCACCUUUCUGAUAAGAAAAGUGAAAAUGUGAAGUUGAAAACUGAAGACGCCCAGCAACUUCCUGAAUCCAGCCCUCCACGUCCUGCCCUACGGGACGGACGACUCCCAAAGAGGAAUCGUUGGUGGAAGUCCCAUGUUUCGUUGCCGUUGGAAGGGGGAACUGGUCAAGGCAGGGCUCAUCUCUGGACCCACACCCCAUAACCAACAUGGAAGCCUGGAUUUGGCCCUGGAUCAGGCUGGCUCCCCAGGGAAGGGUCCAGUCUCUCCGGGGAGACAUCCCGACUUCGGGUCCUGCUUUCUCUACUGUAAUUCGAGGCUGGCCAUGCCCCUCAGUGGGCCUCAGUUUCCUCACCUGUACAGUGGGGAAAUCCAUAGGACCUACCUCCUGGGAGGGCACUGAGGACCGAGGGAAUGAAUGCCUGUCCAGUGCUCAUGAUCGUGACAAGCACUGCGCAGAAUAAAUCCGGAAUAAACGCUCACCGGGUGAGGGAGGGCAGGGAAGAUUUCUAAAAUCCCCCUGAUUUGAGAUGAGAUCUGAUUCACCCACUUAAAAAACCACAUUGGGAAAUAAUUUGAAAUGUACAGGAAAGUUGUAAGAAUCGCACAAAGAAUACUCCCAAACGUUUUGCCCAUACUCACCUGUUUUCUGUGGCAACUUUGAGACAGAAUUCACACGCCAUACAGUUGACCCAUCUCAACUGUACAAUUCAAUGGCCUUUCAUAGUCAGAGUUGUGCAACUGUCACCAGGGUCAAUUUUAGAACGUUUUCAUCACUCUCCUCUCACAAAAAACCCCUCACGUCCCUUGGCUGUCACUCUGCACCUAUUAAUAUUUUUUUGUGUUAAGACUUUUUCUUUGAG